rnacentral:ncRNA from 1 species
UGAACCCCGCCUGGGUAAACGCUAGCCACGUGCCCAGUAUCGAGAGUUGCAGCGGUUGUAUAAGGCCUUCGGUCGAAGUCGCCGCUUCCGCGUACAUCAAAAGGUAGUGAGGGUGAAGCGAUCAUCGGUGGCCCUGCGACGUUGAAUGGAUUUUGGAUUUGCUCCGAAAUUUGGUAACUGUGGGAUUCUGCCCGAGGUUUGUGAAUACCUGGAGGCAACAUCUUUUGCAGCAUUGAUGGCAAGCUGUAAGAGAAGACCCGGGGGCAGCGGCCC